GUCUCUUCGAAGACAUUCAAUAAAAUUGGAAUGAUACAAAGAAGUUUAGCAUGGCCCCUGCGCAAGGAUGACACACACAAAUCGAGAAAUAGUUGCACAUAUAU
rnacentral:snRNA from 1 species